rnacentral:rRNA from 1 species
GGGUCAGUAGGUUGGUCGUGCCACCGGUACGUACUGGUCUCACUGAUUCCUCCUUCCUGAAGAACCGUAAUGCCAUUAAUUUGGUGUCGCGGGGAAACAGGACUGUUACUUUGAAAAAAUUAGAGUGUUUAAAGCAAGCUAACGCUUGAAUACAUUAGCAUGGAAUAAUGAAAUAGGACGAUCGAUCCUAUUUUGUUGGCUUCUAGGAUUGACGUA